rnacentral:rRNA from 2 species
UACGUAGGUGGCAAGCGUUGUCCGGAAUUAUUGGGCGUAAAGCGCGCGCAGGCGGUCUCUUAAGUCUGAUGUGAAAGCCCACGGCUCAACCGUGGAGGGUCAUUGGAAACUGGGGGACUUGAGUGCAGAAGAGGAAAGCGGAAUUCCACGUGUAGCGGUGAAAUGCGUAGAGAUGUGGAGGAACACCAGUGGCGAAGGCGGCUUUCUGGUCUGUAACUGACGCUGAGGCGCGAAAGCGUGGGGAGCAAACAGG